rnacentral:rRNA from 1 species
UACGUAGGGGGCAAGCGUUAUCCGGAAUUAUUGGGCGUAAAGAGCUCGUAGGCGGUUUGUCGCGUCUGCUGUGAAAACUGGAGGCUCAACCUCCAGCCUGCAGUGGGUACGGGCAAACUAGAGUGCGGUAGGGGAGAUUGGAAUUCCUGGUGUAGCGGUGGAAUGCGCAGAUAUCAGGAGGAACACCGAUGGCGAAGGCAGAUCUCUGGGCCGUAACUGACGCUGAGGAGCGAAAGCGUGGGAGCGAACAGG